rnacentral:lncRNA from 1 species
ACUUAUUACCUUUUAAGUCCUCUACCUCCCAUGCUCAGGAAGUUUUAGAAUUGAUCCACACUGAUGUAUGGGGUCCUGCACCAAUAAAUUCAAUUUCUGGUUUUAAGUAUUAUGUGCAUUUUAUAGAUGAUUCGAGCAGAUUCACAUGGAUUUAUCCUCUAAAGCAAAAAUCUGAUACCAUUCAUGCAUUUAUGCAAUUCAAAAACAUUGUUGAAAACCAAUUUAAUAAACGGAUAAAAGUUAUUCAAUGUGACAGUGGAGGUGAGUUUAAACCUGUACAAAAAGUGGCACUUGAAACAGGAAUUCAAUUUAGGAUGUCAUGUCCUUACACCUCCAAACAAAAUGGUAGAGCUAAAAGGAAACAUAGACAUGUAGCUGAGUUAGGCCUAACCUUGCUAGCUCAAGCAAAGAUGCCUAUGCAUUAUUGGUGGAAGGCUUUCUCUACUGCAGUAUACUUGAUAAAUAGGCUUCCAUCAUUUGUUACUCAAAAUGAGAGUCCCUACUGUUUGAUCCACAAGAAAGAGCCAGAUUACAAUUUCCUAAAGCCUUUUGGGUGUGCUUGUUAUCCCUGUCUCAAACCAUACAAUAAGCACAAGCUUCAAUUUCACACAACUAGGUGUGUGUUCUUGGGAUAUAGCGGUGCUCAUAAAGGAUACAAGUGUAUCAAUUCUCAUGGGAGAGUCUUCAUCUCAAGACAUGUAGUAUUCAAUGAAGAUCAUUUUCCCUUUCAUGAUGGAUUUCUUGACACAAGAAAUCCAUUGAAAACUCUAACUGAAAAUGCUACAACAUUAUUUCCCCUUUUUCCUGCAGGUACUGCUGUAACAAACACCACAAAUGAGCCAAUGGGAAAUGGAGAAAAUUCAACUUUUGAGAAUAAUUCAAGUGCAGACCAGUCAACAACAAUAGACAGGUUCAGUGAUGAUGGUGAUGAAUCAACUCAUGGGCUUGACGAUACUGGAAUAGAUAAAAAUGACGACUCAACUGAAACAAGUCAAAUGAGUACACAUAUUGAACCUGAAGUCAGAGCAACAGGUGAAGAAAGCAACACCAACACACACUGGAUGUGCACUAGAAGCAAAGAUGGAAUCCACAAACCAAAACAACCAUACAUUGGAAUGGUACAAGGCUGCACAGAUGACAAGGAACCCG